AACAAACGCUGGCGGCGUGUCUUAAGCAUGCAAGUUGAGCGGCAAGGAGGAGAGAUCCUCCCUAGAGCAGCGGACUGGUGAGUAACGCGUGGGUAAUCUAUCUUAGGCAUGGGGAUAGUCACUAGAAAUAGUGGGUAAUACCGAAUAAGUUCCAUAAGGGGAGGACUUAUGGAAGAAAGGUGCUACGGCACUGGCCUUAGGUGAGCUCGCGUCCCAUUAGCUAGUUGGUGAGGUAAAGGCCCACCAAGGCGAUGAUGGGUAGCCGGCCUGAGAGGGUGUACGGCCACACUGGGACUGAGAUACGGCCCAGACUCCUACGGGAGGCAGCAGCUAAGAAUAUUCCGCAAUGGACGGAAGUCUGACGGAGCGACGCCGCGUGGAUGAAGAAGGCCGAAAGGUUGUAAAGUUCUUUUGCUAGGGGAGAAUAAGUGUGGGAGGGAAUGCCUGCACGAUGACAAGGACUAGCGAAUAAGUCCCGGCCAACUACGUGCCAGCAGCCGC
rnacentral:rRNA from 1 species